GUCCCAAGGGUUUGGCUGUUCGCCAAUUAAAGCGGUACGCGAGCUGGGUUCAGAACGUCGUGAGACAGUUUGGCCUCUAUCCUCCGUGGUCAAUUAGAAACGUGAAGGAAGUUGCUCCUAGUACGAGAGGACCGGAGCGAACGAACCUCUGGUGUACCUGUUGUCGCGUCAGCGGCAUCGCAGGGUAGCUAAGUUCGGCGAAGAUAACCGCUGAAAGCAUCUAAGUGGGAAGCUUCUCCUAAGAUUGCGUUUCUCCAUCAGCCCGGAGCAAGAACAGCUCCUAGAUCGGCCACAGGUGUGCGCACGGCAACGUGCUUAGCCGAGUGGUACGAACGGGCAAUUGAACAUUUUUC
rfam:Candidatus Peribacteria bacterium RIFCSPHIGHO2_01_FTLL_51_35 rifcsphigho2_01_scaffold_4176, whole genome shotgun sequence.